rnacentral:misc_RNA from 1 species
AAAUGCGAUAAGUAGUGUGAAUUGCAGAAUUCAGUGAAUCAUCGAAUCUUUGAACGCACAUUGCGCCCUUUGGUAUUCCUUAGGGCAUGCCUGUUCGAGCGUCAUCUAAACCUUCAAGCCCUGCUUGGUGUUGGGUGCCUGUCCCGCCUCCGCGCGCGGACUCACCUCAAAUCCAUUGGCGGCCCCCGCGUCGGCCACGAGCGCAGCAGAAACGCGAACUGGUGAGCCCGUCCGGGCGGCUCCCAGAAGCUACACCCACCCAGUUUGACCUCGGAUCAGGUAGGGAUACCCGCUGAACUUAAGC